GACGAACGCUGGCGGCGUGCUUAACACAUGCAAGUCGAACGGAAAGGCCCUGCUUUUGUGGGGUGCUCGAGUGGCGAACGGGUGAGUAACACGUGAGUAACCUGCCCUUGACUUUGGGAUAACUUCAGGAAACUGGGGCUAAUACCGGAUAGGAGCUCCUGCUGCAUGGUGGGGGUUGGAAAGUUUCGGCGGUUGGGGAUGGACUCGCGGCUUAUCAGCUUGUUGGUGGGGUAGUGGCUUACCAAGGCUUUGACGGGUAGCCGGCCUGAGAGGGUGACCGGCCACAUUGGGACUGAGAGACGGCCCAGACUCCUACGGGAGGCAGCAGGGGGGAAUAUUGCACAAUGGGCGGAAGCCUGAGGCAGCAACGCCGCGUGCGGGAUGACGGCCUGCGGGUUGUAAACCGCUUUCGCCUGUGACGAAGCGUGAGUGACGGUAAUGGGUAAAGAAGCACCGGCUAACUACGUG
rnacentral:rRNA from 1 species